rnacentral:tRNA from 1 species
GCCUAGGUGGCUCAGUCCGUUAAGCAUCCGACUUAGGCUCGGGUCAGGAUCUCACAGCUUGUGAGUUCAAGCCCCGCUUUGGGCU